GUUGGGAAGGGGAAGAAACGGGUGUCUAAGAGCACUGGGCAUAGGAAAAUCAGGGAAGGCACAUAUUUUUCUUCUCUUCUGUAGUUCUGGAACUAGGGGUUCAGAUUUGUUCUUUCCCAAUGCCUCCCAUGCCUAUUGUUGUUAGUUUCUCCUUCCCCUUCCUUUUGGCC
rnacentral:pre_miRNA from 2 species